AAAUUCCGGCGGCCGUGUUUCCUCACUUUCAAAGUUUAACACGAUUAGUUGUGUGGUACUGUGACAAACUGAAAUACAUAUUUUCAGCGUCUAUGAUCGGAAACCUCAAGCAGCUCCAACACCUAGAAGUACGCUUCUGUGAGGAUUUCUGAGAACAGAGCAGAUGAAGUGAUCCCUUAUUUUGUCUUUCCACAGCUCACCACUUUGAGACUCCAAGGUCUACCAAAACUUAGAUGUUUGUACCCUGGAAUGCAUACUUCGGAAUGGCCCGCGCUAGAAAUUCUUUCAGUGCAUCGUUGUGACAAAUUAAAGAUAUUCACUGAAGAUUUAUCGCAGAAUAAUGAGAACGAUCAACUUGGCAUUCCUGCACAACAGCCCCCAUUGCCGUUGGAAAAGGUAUGAAGCCAUUUUCUAGAUUUUUUGUCUACAGCUUAUUUUUAACUUUGAAAAAUAUGGCAAAGCAUCGAUAAAUUAAUACUCAAUAAAUUGAAAACUUUUAUUAUACAAUAAUCUUUGUUAGUCUAGAUUAAGAGAUCAAUGUGGUAGAUUAAUAAUUAUAUGAACUUUUUUUGGUAGAGCAUUUAUAAAAGAAUCCUUAGUCUUUCCAUAUAGAAGAACUUACAAAAUAAAUUAGUAAUUUAUUAUUGUGCAAUAAAAUAAUUUCGAGCCAGUAUAAAUCAACCUUUUUCCCUAAUUUCUUUUUUACCUCUAAAAUUAACAUAUAAAAUAAAUUUUAUCAAUAAUUCAAUUUUUUUAAAAUAUAAUAUAAAACAAAUAUUAUAAAGUCACUGCGUGUGACCGUAGAUCAUCAAUUGACCUCAUUAGUUAUUAUGAUUGAUGAUGAUCAGAUCGUACCCAACUUGAAGGAACUAUCACUAAGUGGAAAAGAUGUGAAGAUGAUUUUGCAGGCCGAUUUCCCACAACACCUUUUUGGCAGUCUUAGAGAACUAGAGAUUGCUGCAGAUGACACAGCUUGUUUUCCAAUCUGGAACGUACUGGAGAGAUUUCACAAUCUCGAAAUACUCACACUGUCUGUUUUUUUCAUUCGACGAAGAGGUAUUUUCGAAGGAAGGAUGCUUGGAGAAACAUUUGGGGAAGUUGGCAAUGAUAAAAGAAUUAAAGCUGUACCGGCCCUAUCAUCUGAAGCAGCUGUGCAAACAAGAUUCCAAACUUGGCCCCAUUUUUCAGUAUCUUGAAAUUCUAGGAGUAUAUCAUAGUCAAAGUCUGUUAAUUCUAUUGCCAUCAUCAUCGGUAUCUUUUCGGAACCUAGCAAAACUUGUAGCUUUCGGUUGCAAGGAAUUGAUACACUUAGUAACAUCCUCCACAGCAAAAACUCUAGUGCGACUGGUCAAAGUGCAAGUAUAUGGAUGCAGAGCAAUGACAGAGGUGGUAAUAAAUGACAAAGAUGGAGUUGAAAAAGAAGAGAUUGUUUUCUGCAAAUUGAAGACGUUGCAACUGUUUGAUUUAGAUAGCCUCACAAGUUUCUGCUCUGCCAAUUACACCUUCAAAUUCCCAUCUUUGCAAGAGUUGUGGGUGAUUGGUUGUCCCAAGAUGAAGACUUUCACUACAGGAGAAUCAAUCACGCCUCUAAGAGUAAACGUCUGCUAUGGAGAGACAUCGAAUCAACGGCGUUGGGCUAAUAAUGAUCUAAACACAACCAUACAACAAUUACAUGCUGAGAAGGUACGUAUAUACAUAUUACUCUCUAUCUCCCAUGAUAAUUUUUUACAAAAUUUGCUUUCUUAAAUACAAUAUAGAUAAGAUAUUUGAUGAAUAAGAAUUUUACUUUCAGCUGUUGGCGGUGUCGUCGUCAUACUCUACGCAGUACGACUAAUUUCAUAGGCUUCUUAUGACUUGGAGUUGCAAAUUUUUAGAAGAAAGUCUCAACUGGUAAUUAAUUUUUAUUUCAUUUAUUUAAUCCCAUGGCUUGUUUCGCAAUUUCAUCUGAAUUAUUUAGAAUGGGUCCCUCGGUUUACUGUUAAAUUUGCAAUGCAAUUUUAAUGAUCCUUUCAGACUUUUAUGGACAGAUUUUGCAUAGUUGAAUGUCUUUUUAGUCUACUUUAAUUUGAGUUUUUCAUUUUUUUUUUAGAGCUCCCCUUGUUUUCUAAAAUUUUAUAAUUCCUUGCAUACUUUUUAUGAUAAAAUUUCAUUAAAAGCCUUCAUAUUUUAUAAUUCAUUGAAAACGUGCAUACUUUUUCCUUUUUUUUCUUUGCCAAUUAUUUAUUGUCAUCAUUGCUGUUCUUUUAUUUUAGUUUGUGCUCUGUUUGUUCAUUGGGUUUGCUUUUCGGAAAGUUAGAAGGCAAGGAAAGUACUUAGAAAAUGUUCUUCCCUAUGAACACAUAAUUCACAGCUGAAUAUCAUUCAUUGGAUUCAAAAAAAUUAAAAUAAAAAAAAAAAGUAAUCAGCCCAUUAUUCCCAGAACAAAUCCUUAAACCAUCAAACGUUAGCUAUGAACAAGUAUAUUGGUCUAUAGCAUAUUCAUAAUAUUUUUUCUGCUGUUCUGGUUAAAAUUUCUCUACUCUGUGAUUGCAGAAUGUCUGGAUACUGAUGAAGAUUUAAGUCACUCUUCUUCUGUGAAUAAGGUCGUUUUUCUUUUUUCCUCUAUUCAAAAUUUCCAUUCUGAGGGGUUCCCAUUUCCAUCUUCGUGAUCUUCUUGUGAUAGUAUGAGUUACAACCUGUCUGUUUCCUUUAUUUGAUCAUCGCAAGUUCAAAGACAUUUUAUUCUAGCUAAGCUCUUUGUAUGUAUUAUAACAUUUUUAUUCUCAAUAUAUAGAACUCAAUGAGAGGUCUUUUAUUAUACAUGUGUCAUGAAUUUCUAUUGUAUUUUGAGAUUUGAUGGUGUGUUAUCGUCCCAUUGCAAGGUCUUGUAAUCACUCUGAUUCUCAUUUGAGGAGGUUGGUCUCGUCUAUGUGUAUGUAUUUAUAUCCACAAGAAAUUUGAUAAAUGGUCUGGUCAUUUUCUCAUUAAAACAUCUAGUGCUUCAUAUGUUGGAGGGCUACCAGGCAUCAGGGCCAGAUUUUUAAACUCUUCUUCGUGUCAUUUUUUAACAAUAAUAAGGAAGCCCAAGAGAAAAUCUAGAAGUCCUAAUAAGGACCGCUUCUGUAUUGUUCAUUUUCUUAAUUACCUUCAUUAUUAUUUUCGUUUUCAGUUGAUCAAACUUCAGUUCCUUAGCAUUAAUCUAAUUAUGUACUUCAUCUAGAAAUCCUUAAUUUACUCAUCAAAAUGUGAACGCUUAGAAAACUAAGGCAAUAAAUAUAAAGGUACUACCUAAGUUUAUCAUCACAUAUGAUCACCACUUGAUAAUCAAAUAAUCAUAAAAGCAUAUAAAUUCAAAUUAGUGUAUCAUUUACACUAUAAGAAAUAGUUGUAUUACCGACCAGACAUUUCCACAAUAUACUUUUUACACUAUAAAUGCUUUUGAUGGGCUUCAUCUUUGGUUUCGGCUUCGCCGACAAAUAUCUCACAAACAUUCUGCCUUCAAGCAACAACACAACUCCCACUCUAAAUGUAUUUUAUACACUCUCAAACGCACCGUUUUGAUUUGUGUUAUAAAUUUGACGCUGCCAUUGUUUUUUUGUUUUUGACAGGCAUGGCUUUUCUUUUUAAGCCUUUCCUUUUAUCUUUUAUAGCCAUCUUCCACAUCAUUUCUCUUCCAAGUAAUCUUAAGAAAUAUUUCUGUUCUUCUUCCAAGUAAUCUUAUCAUUUCUCUCAUUUUAUUCGUUCUUCUCUUUUCAAGUCUUCAAUCUUAUACUCAGUAAAUAUAUUAAACUGCUUUUUCACUUCAGUUCCAGACAACUGAGAAGGUGUUUGUCCCUACUCUCUAGUUUUAUUCAAAGACACUAUAUUUUCGAAACCUAUGAUUUGUUGGGAAAAAUCGACGGUGACCCACGUGACAAAAUUUUCUACUAUGUAUCAACCAAUUAGAUCCAGUGCUUUGUUGGCAAACAAGACAUGCUUAUUUACCUUUAAUACUCCACCCAGACAAGUUGCCACUGAUAGUUCAUAACAAUGCUACGUGUAACUUGAACAUUUGAUUACGUGAUGUACUGUAUCAUUCCAACCAUAUCAUCAUCAGCCACUUCCCUUAUAACGAAAUAUAGAUUACAACACUUAUCAAGAAGGACAAUAAAUUCUUGUACCACCAACAACAUUCUCAAAUACAAAAUCUAUAAAUUUUUCAACGCCAUCAGUAUAUGACUUGGAUAUCUAUUUGGCAAACCAACCCAACACUUGUCCAUGACUAUCUCCUUUUAAUGCGCUAAAAAAAUUAGUUCUUCAUUUCUACUACUAAACAAGAUAUUUUCGUGUGUGCACAGUUUUGCAAUAUAAUAAAAAGAUCAUUUUACAAUUUUAUGGUUAAUUUCAUUAGAAUUUACAUAUAUGAAAGCAAACAAAGCCACAAGAAUCAGAGAAAAAGAUGUGACAAUCAAAGUAUAUAAUCAACGAUAAUUAAUGUAAAAAACAGUUUCCAAUACCUUCUGUAAAGAAAUAUCCUUGCCAAGUGCUGAGAACUUCACUUGGCUAUCAAUUACAGAUAUAUAAAGCCUGUAACCUAGAAACAAAAAAUUAGGUCAGCAAGUCCUGAAACAUUUUUAUAAACCAACAUUGGAGAUAGCACUCCAUUUACAAACAAAAUUACAAGCUCAAAACCAAGGUCAACUCAGCAAAAUCAUCACCAAUUACAUUCAUCCAACUCAGCUCCUACACUACCCUCAAUAUAUCCAACAUUCCCUUCAUAUUUACCAACCGUAAGUAAUCCUACAUAUCCCACUCAAGAAUGCGUAAGUAUUUUCAAUCUCAAGUACCUAAAGUUUUAUUCUACAUUUAUAAAAAUUUCAGCACCAUCUCCCUAUAAUUCUCCAAGCACGCGACAUAGCUAUAUAAGUGUUUAUGCGUUAUGCCAAAACAACACAACACCCAUUCACCUAGUACGUUCCCAGAGAACACGAGGAGCAGCUACUGAAAAACCCAUUUUUACGUGGGAAGAAACUUCAGCUACUAGCUACCAGAGAGAAGUAUGCAUUCCCAAACUGUCCAAGCCCGGACAAUUCAAGAAUUAUUAAUAGACAUAUGAUCCUCACUAUCAUCCAAAUAUGACACUAAUAAAACAUGUGUCUAUUAAUAAUUUCUUAAACAAGUCUAAGCUUUUAAUGCACGUAUCAAAAGUUUAAAAUUGAAUCUGAAAUUUGAAUAACACAUAAAUAUCAUAAAUCUUUUCAAGUUAUUCCUGAUACAAUGUAGGCAUGUAGCAUUAUUUCACAUAUCAUUUCUUAAGCAAAACCAUAAAAAAAUACAAAUGAUAAAUACAUUUUCGUACUGAUGCAGAUUAUGUUUACUGAGCAAUAAGUUUUAAGUCAUUCAUGUUGAAAUACUUCUUCCUAUUCUUUCAACAUAUAACUAGUACGUACACACAAUUAAUAAAUAAAUAAAUAACCUGGUGGUGAAUCUUGCAAAAUCUUCCUUUUUUUUGUGGGGGGGGGGGGGGGGGGGGGGGGGGGGGGGGGGGGGGGGGGGGGGGGGGGGGGGUGGGGGCGCUAUGAAUCUUGCAAAUCCUCGGGAAGCCAUGUUAAGACAAGGCCAGCUUACUAUUAGGGUAUGAAAGAUAAAACCUUUUAUUUCCUUUUCAGAAUAAAAAGGACAUUGACAGUGUUAAAAAAAAUCUAGAGGAUUUCAGGCCUCCAGAUCCUUACAAAUCAAGGAUAUUAAAAAAAAUUACUUAGAGGAGAAAGGUUAUGCUCAUUUGUAUCUUGUUAGAAGAAAUUGAUCCAAAGCCUCAGUUUUAAUUUGCUUCAUACAGCCAAUGACUAGGUGUUUAAAAACCAAUGAAUAUUUUUAUAAGAAAUCAACAAUAUUGUUGAAAGAAAAACCAAAUAAAAAUAAUAAAGCCAAUGAAUAGAUCAAGGCUCUUUAUGGUCUAAUAACUAAUCAAACUAAGUUGUGGGCAAAGGCGAAUAUGUUUGUUUGGUCGAAAAUAAGCUCAACAAAUCACUAAUAAUCACCUAAUCACUAUUCUUUAUGCUAUGCAAUAUAAUGGCCUGGGUAAUGGCGCCAAGGCAGAAAAUAACUAGCUAGCCAGUUAUGAUAGUUGAUUAACUUAACCUACUGGAAAUCCGAAGACCAAAACGAAGAAGCUUUGCCUAGAACUAGAAUAGGAACAUUCAUACCCAAAACUAAUAUACACGAUUAAGAAACUUGAUUAUAUGUAUAUUUCUGUUGGCCACACUGAAAGAGAAUUUUCAAAAGAUGCUAAGGUACACCAAAUCCCACUAUUUCAUACUCAUAAACACAAAAAACCAAGGAAAAAAUUAAUGACUAUAUAAAAUAAAAUCGGUCAUAGGACAUUGAGAUUAGGACAACUUGAUUUGUAUACCGUAAAAUAACUAUAUCUGCAUAGUGAACUAUAUUUCUGUUAGAACUCUGAAGUUUUCUAUUAAAUUUUUUUCUCUGUUAGGUAAACCACUUAACUGAAAUGCUUAAGCCAAUAUUGACAAUCAUAGACAUAAAAGUAUUAAUAGGCUCAUUCAAGUGAAAUGAGCAUUAUUUUACACAUCCUUUAGGAUUUUAAGUCAUUUAGAAGUCAUUCAUGUUAAAAAAAAAAAAAAUUCAUAUACUUUCAAUAUAAUUAGUACAUACACAAUUAAUUAAUUAAAUAAAUCUGUUUCAGCUAGUAUAGGAACUUAAUUAAUCAAAGCUAGUAGUUAUAGCUAGGACUUGAACGAGGCACCUUUCAAAGUUCAAGAAGAGCAUCUGAACAGAAUGAAAGCACUUUGUAGAAAUGAUAAUGAUGCUUUACACAAUAUGAACUUUCAUUUAUUCAAGAACAUAACACUACUCCAAGCUCUUAUUCUACGAGUCAAUCCAGUUUGUAGAUGCACGCCAUUGUAAAAGCUUUUGUAUUAUAAUUUCUGAAAAUAGAACAUAACAUUAUUAAUAUAGAAUCAGCAAUGUAUAUAACUUAUCAGACAAUAUAACAAGCACUUGGUGAGCAUACAAGAUAAACCAAAACAAGUUAUCUAGAAAAUGAAACUAAAACCCAAGCUCCGCUAUUCAUUGUAGAUGCUUUAAACAUAAAAUUAAACUAAAUCUAAUAGCAAAACAUUAGAAUGGAUGUUGGAAUUAAAGCUAAAUUCAAUAGUAAUUCAAAUGAAUCCAUUUGAACUUUGUAAAUUCCGCAGAACAAAAUUAAUUUGAGUGAGCAAACUCACCAAUGGAACAAGAACGCAGGGGCUUCAACUUGUACGAAUAAAAAAAUAUUGCUGGCGGGACAAAAAUUGACAAUAACGGCUACAAUACGAAUUAAAAAAAAUCAAAGUCUAUAAUUACAAGUUAAGUAAGAGAAGAAACUCAUAAUCACAAGCUUACCUCAAAAGAUGAAGGGAGAAUACGAUGAAGAAGAAGAUGCCCGGCGUUUUACGCCGUUCGCUGGCAACCAGUUAUGUUUACGAUGGUGGCCAGUAACACGGACUCCAGCGAAUACUUUUCUAACUGGAAAUAAAUUUAAAAUUCUAAAAUAUUAGUAUACCGAACGGCUCUUCACCGUCACGCAGUUCGUAACAUAUGUGACAGCAGUGUGGCCGUCACAUAAAGGGUAACAAAAGCAACUCGGGGUUACAGAGUUAGAAGUUAGUGAUAUGCGUAAUGGCUGCUUUUGCAUUCACAUUAGGGGUCACAUAUACCCUAUUUUCUUGUAGUACAUGGUAAAUUCUAUUUGAAAAUUGCUCAGUAUUUUAGAUUUGUACGAAAUCAUUUUUGUGUGCUCGUUGGAUAAUAAUAUAUAAUAAAUUAAAAUUUUAGUGUAAUUUUCACAAUAUUGUAUUAGAAAUAUGUCUCGUUGAAAGGUUUUGAAAUCGUUUGAUUGAUCAUAAUUGUUAUUUCGACAGUUGCAAAAGAUGCCAGAGAAAAUUUGAUUAUCUUAAGAAAUGAGUGCAUGAGAUAUGAAAUCAACCAUACCAUAAAAUCAAAUUUUAUCGUUUCAUUCUUCCUGGUUCAAAUUUAUGGAAACAAUAAUCAAAUGCACCCAUGAACUAGUAUAUUCCGACAUAUGUACCAUCAAAUUUUUGCUAUAUCAUACUUAUAUAUGUAUAUUGAAAUUUUAAUAACAACAAUUGGGCCAAGCGUAUGUUGGUACUUGAAGAUUUAUAAGCUCCAUCCUUGAAAAAAUAAGGCUUGAUUGUUCUCAAUCUAAUUCUUUUUGUUUUAAGUUCUUAAUUAAGCUUUCUUGCUUGUUUUCAAGAGCCAGUUUUGUAGUGAUCGAAAAACAUGAUUUGCAUGUAAUGCACUUGGCAUUUAUGCGUCACUUAUUAAUUAGAUUUAAAUUUUAUAAAUUAGUUAAGCUGAUUAAUACUGUGCAUGUGCACUAAAUGAUAAAUACUACAUAAAUUGGUAGGAGUGGGCAAAACCGGGUUCGGGUCGGGUCGGGUUCGGAUCAACCCGAUCGGAUUUCGGGUUGUUCGGGUUUAACAAAAAUUAAUCCGAAUACAACCCGAACUUCCCACCCGACCCGAUCCGAUCCGAUUUAUAUUCGGAUUGGGUCAGGUCGGGUUGUGAAUUCAGGUUGAAAUCGGGUAGGAUCGGGUUGACCAAUUUCCUUGAUUUUGUUACUACCAUUUAAAAACACAUAAUUACAACAAUUAAAUACUAAAUAUUAAUUGUUUAAUUUAACCAUAUGCACCAUCAAUUCAAAUCUUUAAAAAAAAAAGCUUAAAAAAAGCGUGAAAACUCAAGAUUCAAAGUCAAAGGUGAGAAGCUCGGGUUGAAGGAUUGGAGCAGCAGAAGCACCUUGCAGCAGAUUCGCGGCACUUGCAGUAGAUCGGUGGCCGCGGCACUUGUAGCAGCAGACCGACGGACGCGUAGUAGCAUAUUGGCGGCACUUGCAGCAAAUCGGGCAUGGAGACGCGCGGCAAAUCGGCCAUGGAGAUGCGGGUGAGGCUGUGACUUGUGCAACGACCUCCGUUGGCAGCUUGGCGUUGGCCCAACGCCGUUGGGGGUGACUGUGUAUGUGUUUUGUGUAUUGAGAUUGGGGAUUGUGUAAUGAGAUUGGGGAUUGAGGAGAGUUGUGAGUGUUUGUGUAAGUAACCGUGUGUUGUGAAAAUGGGAAUUGUGAUUUGUGUGUGCUGCGUGUGUGUGGCUGUUUGCUUUAGGUUUAGUUUUUUUUUUUUAUAGCAACCCGAUCGGGUUUCGGAUCGGAUCGAACCCAAUCCGAUCAUAACCCGAUCGGGUUUCAUUGUUUUGAUCCGAUCGGGUUUUCUGCACAACCCCAUCCGAUCCGAACCUGAAAUUUUUCGGGUCGGGUCGGGUCGGAUCGGGUAAUUUGCCCACCCCUAUAAAUUGGGACACUAGUAACUAUGCAUCCCAACCAUGUAAUAUUUAUUUGUCACGAAACCAACCACGACAUGAUAUUCUUAAUAUUAUUUAGGAUACCAUUUCAAGCCCCAUGAGGGCUCCUUCCGUUAAAUAAAAAAAAAAGGUAUGAAAUAGGUGUAGAUUUUACUUUAGAUAUUAUUAGUGAGAGUACCUUUGGUGGCAAUGGUCCGAGAUGAUUUGGGAUUUGACCAUUCUACUCUCAUCUUAAUUAUCAAAUGGAAUGUAAGUAUGGAUAAACUCGUCCUGUUUAUAUAUUUGUGAUCAAAAUUAGGACCAAUCUCAAACCCCUCACAAUCAUUUAUAUUAUUGCACCAGUUUAACAAUAAGAUUUACGAAACACAUACGACUGUUUUUAUAACUAAAAGUAUUUUUAAGCUACAAGAUUACCAAAAUGACCCUAAAUCAAACCAAUAAAAAUGUUUUAAAGUAAUAAUAAUAAACCAGAGUAAACGUACAAAAAUUCAUGCAUAAAUUGAUAAUCAACAAAAACAUCCAAAAGUUUAACUCCAAGUUUUCUAUUCAAUUGACAUAACCCUUAAAUUUCAAAAGGUAUAAUCAAUUUUGUGUCUAAUCCUAUAAAAUUAGAAAAUUAAAGAAUAUUAUAUAUUGAUAAUUAAAUAAUAUGCAAUUAAUAAUGUUUAAAAAAAUAAUGUUAAACAUAUUGUCAACUAAAAUAAUUGGGAGAAUUGGAGUUCCAAGAUAAAUUCUUAUCUAGUCCCAAAUCAACAAUUGUGAUUAAUUUCAAUCUUAAACUUUGAAACUCGGACUGCUUUUAAAAUUGGUCCUAAUAAUAUGGACAAAUCCCAUUCUGAUCAAUAUGGAAUCCCAAUCCAUACCUUUGGAUUUCGAUGGUGUUUAGUUGGAGGGAGGAGAGGAAGGAAAUGAAUUCAAAUUCCUUUCACUUUCCUGUUGUUUGGUUUUCACUAAUAAAUGGGAAUUCAAUUUCUAUUGAAAUUUAAUUUUCAUCAAAUUGUGCAUUUUGGAUUCCUCACCGAAGGCUGUAAAAUUCAAAUUCCCUUUCUAUUAGAAAUCGAAUCUUCCAAAAUUGCUCCAAUCAAAUUUUUAUCAAUUAUUUUAAUUAUUAUCAAAUAAUUCUUAUUUAUGAUUUUAUUUUUUCAAUUUAAAUUGUCACUAAGGAGUCGGACUUACUACCACAGAAAAGAAAAAAAAUAAUUUAGUCAGCUGAACUAAUUUUUGUUUUUUUUUUUUUUUAUUAACUUUGAAAUAUUGCAUACAUAACGAGCUGCUAUUGAAAUUAGUGUUAAAAAAAAAAUAGAUGCAAAAGGAGAAACAAGCAUCAUGUGCAGUACCCACUGUGAAAUAUUCACAUUGGAAUAAGUCGUUGGCAGCUGGUCUGUUUGGCCAUUAAUAUUUUGACAUUCAAUGUUCAUUAUGAUCCUAGUAAAUUAAGCCAUAAAAAAUCUAUUGAAAUUACUCACCGUACAAUGAUGGUUGGAGCUGCAUGUAUCAUUUAUUGUUAACAACAAACUUAUGAAAUGCUUUGAAUGUACCUCCGAGGUUGUAUUUACUAUACUAGUUAGGAGAAAUUACGAAGUUAAAUUAUUUGAUAAAUACUUAUUAUAAUUUGAAAAAUAUGUUAAUUUUGUCCUCCACUUUAUGAUAAAAAAUUUAUAAUAUAUAUAAAUCAUUCAUUCUAUAAUCUUGAAUUUUAUUAAAGUUAGAAAAACUAUUACUCUACAUGAUAUAAUAGUGUGAUGUUAUUACACUAUUAUACCAUAUAAAAUAUAUUUACUUUCUUAAAUUUUAAUAAAGUCUAGGUCUUGGAGAGAAGCACUUUAUAUAUAUAUGUAUAUAUGAUUAUUGUCUAGUGACAACAUUCUCAUUUUAACAAAGUGAUGAUAUAUCUAACUAAAAAACGCAUAUUUCAAUACACCAAUAGAUUAAAAAAAAUACAGUUUUUAAUAUGUUAAAAUCUAUAUAUUUUGUAUUAUUAAUAUUUUCACUUUAACAAAGUGGGGUCUCCUCACUAUAGAAGUACUUUAUAAAUAUUCUUUAUAUUUUUGUGAAAAUUAUUAUUUAAAAGUCAUAUUUUCCUAAAAACUAAUAACUUUUAUUUUAUUACUAUGCUGUACUUUUCAAGACAUAACACCUCAAUACCAUGACGUUAAUUAUUGAACUCUGCUGUACAAAGUUGUUGGCUGGUCUAUUUAGCUUAGUCUUUCAAUUAUUUGUCGUUUGAACUGAGAUGAUUCGAAUAAAGCUGUAUAUCAAUAAUUUCCUAGUGAAACUUCGAGAAAAAAUAAAAAUCAUGUCAUACAGUAGCAUUAUUUUUAUUUUCAGCUUGAUUAUGUUUUGAGUUAACUUAUAGAUUAUUUGAAAUAAAAAGAAUAUAAUUUAUUUUUUCUAACUAAAUAUUUUUAAAUAAUUUUGUUAAUUUAAUGAGUAAUUAUACACUUACAAAGUUAUGAUAUAAAAUUAUAUCCCUGAAUCCCAAUCAUAUGACACCAAUUAACUACUGCUAUGUGUUUCUUAGUAUUUAACUUUUUAUACUAUUAUUAAUGAGAUAAUUAUCUUCAACACCAAUAAAUAAAUUUUAUAUUAAUACAUCCUCUGACUUUAUUAUCAAAUGAUUAUAAAUCAUAAUCAAACCAAGCUACCAAAGCCUACUACUAAGAGAUUGAUUAAAGGGUUUUCCAAGAUUUCAAAUUGGAUGAAACUAUGGUGCAACGGUUGCACCGUACUACUCAAUUUUGUCUUUUUCAAUUAAUUACAUCUCAAUACCUAUAUUUUAUAAAAAAGUUGAAUAGACACUAGAAGUUACAAUUUUUUAUAUAUGAGUCCUCUUUUGGGAUAAAAAUGGAUUUUAAAAAAAUUUAACUGUUACUAUUAUUAAUAUUUAUAAAUUUCAUUAUUAUUAUAUUAAUAUUAUUGUUAUUAUUAUUAAAAUUUAUUAUUUUAAUUAUUGUCAUGUAUUAUUAUUACUACCAUAAAUGUCAUCAUUAUUAAUAUUAUUAUUAUCAUUAAAAUUUAUUAUUUUAUUAUUUUAAUUAUUAUGUAUUAUUAUUACUGUCAUUAAUUAUUAUUAUUAUGAAAUUAAUUUAUUUUAUUAUUUUAUUGUUACAAUUACUUUAAUUAAGUCAUUAUUAUUAUUUUAUUAAUUUUAUUACUAUUAUUAAAUAUAUUAACUUUAUUAUUUUAAUCAUGAUUAAUUAUUGUUAUUAUUAUUUUAUUAAUAGUAAUAUUAUUAAAAUUAUUAAUUUUAAUAUUUUAAUUAUUGUCAUGUAUUAUUAUUACUACCAUAAAUGUCAUCAUUAUUAAUAUUAAUAAUAAUAUUAUUAUUAUCAUUAAAAUUUAUUAUUUUAUUAUUUUAAUUAUUAUGUAUUAUUACUAGGGGUGGGCACGGUUCGGUUCGGUUUGGUUCGGUUCGGAUCGAAAUUAAGUAGAACCGAUUUAAAUCGGUUAUUUUAUAAAAAGAACCGAAUAAGAACCGAACUCAAACGGAUCUUUUCGGAUCGGUUCGGUUCGGUUCGGUUUUUUGGUUCUAGGUCUAUUAGGCCUAUUUUAAAAUUUCAAAUUUUUAGCCCAUUGGACCUCAUAAAUGUAAUAAUUGUUUUCAACAAUUAGUUCAUCCUAAUUUCAUUACAAAUAUUAACAAUAAAUACAAAGUAUUCAAAACACAUUUUAUCACUAAUAUCUUAUUAACUACUAAUAAGGUACUCACAAAAUAUGAAAUAUUAAAAUUUCAAAAUACAUAACCAAACUCCAAUACUCCAUCUACAUAAACAUAAUCAUAAUGUUGUAAAGACAAAUAAAAAUAACAACAAUUACAACUUACAACACAAAAUAAAAAGAAAAUUUAGAAACAAACGCCAACAACAUUCUCCCAUCUUCACCCAAAAAAAAAAAUUGCAAACAAAUGCCAACAACAUUCUCCCAUCUUCAUGAAUAUCAACAUCAACUUUAGGCAUUUUCGACUCAAUAUUUGGAUUUAUAAAAAAAAAUUUAACACAUGUCGAUUUGAAUAAAAUAUAAAAUUAAUUCGGUUUUUCGGUUCAGCUAAGUGAACCGAAUACCGAACCGACAUUUCGGUUUUUUUUUACAAAUGAUAUAUUUCGGUUUUUUUUAAAAUAAAAACCGAUCCAAAUUCGAAAAAACCACCGGUUCGGUUCGGUGUUUUUAAGACCACGGUUUUUUUGCCCACCCCUAAUUAUUACUGUCAUUAAUUAUUAUUAUUAUUAUGAAAUUAAUUAAUUUUAUUAUUUUAUUGUUACAAUUACUUUAAUUAAGUCAUUAUUAAUUAUUAAUUUUAUUACUAUUAUUAAAAAUAUAUUGGCUUUAUUAUUUUAAUCAUUAUUAAUUAUUGUUAUUAUUAUUUUAUUAAUAGUAAUAUUAUUAAAAUUAUUUAAUUUUAAUAUUUUAAUUAUUGUCAUGUAUUAUUAUUACUACCAUAAAUGUCAUCAUUAUUAAUAUUAUUAUGAAAUUACUUAUUUUACUCAUUAUUAAUUAUUAUUAUCAUUAAAAUUUAUUAUUUAUUAUUUUAAUUAUUAUGCAUUAUUAUUGCUGUCAUUAAUUAUUAUUAUUAUGAAAUUAAUUAAUUUUAUUAUUUUAAUUGUUACAAUUACUUUAAUUAAGUUAUUAUUAUUUAUUAAUUUUAUUACUAUUAUUAAAAUAUAUUAACUUUAUUAUUAUUAUUAUUAUUAUUAUUAUUAUUAUUAUUAUUAUUAUUAUCAUUAAAAUUUAUUAUUUAUUAUUUUAAUUAUUAUGCAUUAUUAUUGCUGUCAUUAAUUAAUAUUAUUAUUAUUAUAAAAUUAAUUAAUUUUAUUAUUUUAAUUGUUACAAUUAUUUUAAUUAAGUUAUUAUUAUUUAUUAAUUUUAUUACUAUUAUUAAAAUAUAUUAACUUUAUUAUUAUUAUUAUUAUUAUCAUUAAAAUUUAUUAUUUAUUAUUUUAAUUAUUAUGCAUUAUUAUUGCUGUCAUUAAUUAAUAUUAUUAUUAUUAUAAAAUUAAUUAAUUUUAUUAUUUUAAUUGUUACAAUUACUUUAAUUAAGUUAUUUUUAUUUAUUAAUUUUAUUACUAUUAUUAAAAUAUAUUAACUUUAUCAUUUUAAUUAUUAUUAUUAUUUUAUUAAUAGUAAUAUUAUUAAAAUUUAUUAUUCUAAUUAUUAUAUUAUUAUUAAUGUUGUCAACAUCAUCAUCAUCAACAUUAUUAAAGUUUACAUAUUUUUUUGUUUUAAGUAAUAUUAUUGUCAUUAUUAUUAUUUUACCUUAAGUAAAUAUUUAAAAACUUUUAGUUUUUAUGAUUUUGUAACUUACGGUCAGACUGUGAAAUAGUUAGAUAAUCAUUAAUUAUUAUUAUUAUUAACAAUUUAAUAAAAAUAUUAUUAAUUAUUGUUAAUAGAUUAAUUAAUUAUAAUGUUUUUUAUUCUUGUAUUAAUAAUAAAAAUAAUCUAUUUAAAAAAUAUUUAUGAUUAUAAUAAAAUAACAAUUAUAAUUAUAAUUCAUUUAACAAUAAUUAUAUUUUUUAAAUAAUGGAGGUUAUUUGGAAAAUUUAAAAUUAUAGGGGCAAAUUCAUACUCUAGGGUUUUAAUAAAAUAAAAUUGAGUAUAAGGGGUUAAACGAAAUUUUAUAUUUCAAAAAGUUUAUAAUAUUCAUGAAUAAAAUAUAAAUAACAUAGAAUAUGGGGGGUUAUAUAAAAUUUCACAGGCUGACCGUAAGUUACGUUAAAUGUAUAACUUAGGCGGACCUUUAGUGAAAUGCACAAAUGGCACAAGGGACCCCGCCAACCGUUAAGUCACAUCAUUUAUUUAUUUGUGAAUGAAAAAUAAGGUCCUUAUGCUAGUUUGACGAUUAUAAGUUAUCAUCACAAGGUUGUUGGGCGCAUGCAUACUGAGUCACAGCACUGAGAUUCAACUUUUCUGUACAAUAAGAGUUUAUUUGUCUUUUUGUAUUGGGAUAAAAUGGAUCUCCCUCCAACUUUAAGUAAGGCUUAAUAUUCAGGCUGUGCUGUAAUAGAAUUAUUGAGGAGAGUUUCAUUUUUUAUUGUAAAUAUCAGUAGAGCUCUCAUUGUAAUAUAUCAGUCUAUCAAAAAAAAGUUAUCAUCCCAAUAACUUUGGACUUUGAUAUUAAUUUUACUAAUUAUGAAAUUCAUUAUCUAAUAAAAAAAAUAACACAUAACAAUUGGGUCUCAAAUUAGAAUUCUACUAUCGAAAUUCCUAGCAUUAUUCUAAUAUUAAAAAUUCAUCAAAAUAAUAUCUAUUAUCUAAAAAAAUAAAAUAAAAAUCUAAAGCCAUAGAUUUACUUUUCAAUCUUCCUGAUUUGGCUGAUUUCUUUUAAAGCUUUGGUUUCUUUAUAUUUUUAUCGAUCAUUUUAGCGGUGCUGGCAUUUGAUUUUUUUGACUAAGCUACUGUUUAGUUCUAAGUUUUGGCAAUUGCCCGGACUGCUCUGUUUUGUGUAUCUUCGACACAACAAGGCUUAGCAUCUAAAUGUCGGCAGCCACGCAACUUCUUGGAAUCUUCGUGCAAGUGUUGGAUAUCGACUGUUCGAUAAUGAUGGCAGCAUGGGACUGGAGUGUAAUUGACGCAGUGGAAUAAAGAUCACAUGUCUCAAACUUUUGGCGAAGAUAUUGUCAGAUAUUUUAUUGAUUAAGGAUCACAAAUAAUGGAUAUUGGAUGAGAAUCACAUGCUUUACCACAAUCGUAAUGUUACUAAUGUAAGUCAAGCAAUUAUUUUUAAAUAAUGAUAUUAUAAUUAAAAAAUAAAUAAAUAUUUAUAAUAUUUAAAAGAGUAAUUCCGAUUAUUAAUUUUUUUAUAUUACUUAAUUAUUAGCUGACAAAUAAUUAAAAGGUUAUAGAACAGGACUCAGCUACCUUACAACAGUUGCAAGGUACCACCAAAUUUUGACUUUUCUUAAUUUCAGUUUUUUAUCAUUAGAUUUAAUGAAAAGGUGGUUUCAAUGGUAGAGAUUUGUUCAUUUAAAUAUUAACAUUACACUCCUUGAUAUUUAUUAAAGACACAAACAAGUUAAAGAGUUUAAAAUUUUAACACAUAAGUCCGGAUUGUUUACAAUUUAUAUUGUUUAAUUAGUAGUGAGUAUUAAAAAAUAAAUAUUAUUUUUAAUAUUAUAUAUUUUAUUUAAAAGAAUAAAUAAAUAUUAUUUAAUAUUAUUUAUUCCAUUUUAUUUAAUAUUAUUUAGUCAUAUACUUAUUAUUAUAUUUAUUCUUUCAAAAAACUAAAUAACAUUAAAUAAAAUAAAAUAAUCAUUAGGGCGCUUUAAAAAUAAAUAUUAUUUUUAUUUUUGUUUUAUUUAAUCAUUGGCUUAUUAUUAUAUUUAUUAUUUUAAAAAAUAAAUAAUAUUAAGUAAAAUAAAAUAAUCAAUAAUGACUGUUAAAAUUAAUAUUAUUUUUACUUAGUCAUAGGCUUAUAAUUAUAUUUAUUCUUUAAAAACUGAAUAAUAUUAAAAAAUCAAUAGUGUCUUAAAAAUAAUAUCAUUUUAAUAUUAUUUAUUUUAUUUAAGUUAAAUUUUAAUAUUAUUUAUUUUAUUUAAGUUAAAAUUUUAAUAUUAUUUAUUUAAUUUAAAUUUUUUAAUAUUAUUUAUUUUAUUUAAUAUUAUUUAGUCAUAGGCUUAUUAUUAUAUUUAUUCUUUUUUAUAAAGAUAAAUAAUGUUAAAUAAAAUAAAAUUACAUUUUAUAAAAGUUACCAGCGAAAGCAUACAAAAUUAUAAAUAAAUGUAAAAAAAUAAAUAAUAUUAAAUAAAAUAAAAUUACAUUUUAAAAUGUCACUAGCUAAAACAUAUAAACUUAUAAAUAAAAUGUAAAUAAGAAAGAAAGUAAGGUAUUAAAUGAAAUGUAACGUCACAUAAAACAAAAAUAAGUGGCACAUUACAACUGUUGCAAGAUAGCUGGACUCAUAAAACAAUAUUUUUAGGUCAAAUUUUUAUUCUGAUACGACACAACUUGUACUUUCAUUCCUAUGCUAAAAUAUAUCUAACCUACUAAUAGUCAAGAAAUAUAUCUAUUCAACACAUAUUUGUUAGAAAGAUUAUCUACUAAUUAAUCAUUGAGACGAGAUUACGAGCCUCAACAUAAAUUAGGAUAAAAAUUAAUAUAUUGAAAUUCAUAAUUUUUUUUUUCCUUCAGCAGUUUAAAAUGGAGUCGCCCACUAGUACUGAAAUAAUUUUAUCAGAUUCGCUUGAAAGUAGUUUUACAAGCAAGCAGUUUUUCCCUCUUGAUCCCCGUAAUCGUCAGCUCCUACUCUUUGCCUUCAAUUCUCAGUCAAGAAAACCUCUCCUGAUUUUCGUCUUUUGAUCUCAUACACACUUUGCUUCUGUUCAUCGUGGUCGCUGCUCGUGCUAGCCGUUUUCUUAUUUAGCUUUGUUCCCUUUUGCCAUCAGCUCUUCGCAUUUUCAUUGGAUCAAGCAACCCUUUUCUUGAUUCAAUUGUCUGAUCUCAAAAACACUUUGAUUCUCUUCUGUUACGCUGAUUUUCCCUUGUUUUGUACAAAUAUCAUUUCUUUUUUCAACUUUGCCUUGUUUUGCUUCUGCUUGAUUAUCAAUUGCGCGGCCGUUGACCCUGUUCUAUUUCUAUUUCGUUCACUUCCCCAAAAAAUAAAAAAUGGACAUUUUGAAAAGCAUUGUUCCAGGAGUUGUGAACUGCUUGUCUCCUCACGCACAACGCGAAUUUAGUUAUUGGUAUAACUCCGCUGCCAACUUUGAGAAUCUCAAGGCAGAACUCGAUAGGCUCAAGGAUGAAAGAGAAAGCAUUCAGCGCAGAGUUUCUGAGGCUGAAAGAAAAGGUGAAAAGAUUGAAGAGAAGGUUGAGAAAUGGCUGGUUAAUGCGAACAAGAGCAUUGAGGAGGCAGCCAAAUUCAUUCAAGACGAAGAGAAAGCAAAUGAACGAUGUCUCAUGGGGCUGUUUCCAAAUUGGAUUACUCGCUAUCAGCAUGGAAAGAAAGCAGAAACAGAGAAGGAGGCCCUUUUUAAACUCCGAGAAGAAGCUGGGAGAUUUGAUGAUAGAAUUUCCUACCGUACCGUUCCGGAGGAUAUAUGGCUCAAGUCUCACAAAGGCUACGAGGCCUUCGAAUCAAGACUUUCUACUUUGAAGGCCAUACAAAAUGCAUUGAUCGAUGUUGAUGUCAGCAUCAUUGGGGUGUACGGCAUGGGCGGCGUUGGAAAGACGACACUGGUGAAGAAGGUCGCCAGGCAAGCUAUGGAAGACAAGCUCUUUGAUAUGGUGGUCUUUUCAGAGGUUUCGCAAACUCCAGACAUAAAAAAGAUUCAACAGGAAAUUGCCGAGAAGUUGGGCCUGGAGUUGCACGAGGAAGUUGAAUCUAGAAGAGCUAGUAGGCUAUGUGAGCGAUUGAGAAAUGAGAAGAAGAUCCUUGUGAUUCUGGAUAACAUCUGGAAACACCUUGAUUUGGAGACCGUUGGAAUUCCUUUUGGAGAAGAUCAUAAAGGAUGCAAACUACUGCUGACGACAAGAGAUCGUAGUGUCCUCUUGAAAAUGGGAUCUGAAGACAACUUUUUGAUAAACAAUUUAAAUGAAGAAGAAGCCGGGAGAUUGUUUAAGAUGAUGGCCGGUGAUGAUGUUGAAAAUCGUGAGUUGAAAUCUACAGCAAUAGACGUCGCCAGGGCAUGUGGAGGUUUGCCCAUUGCCUUGACUACAGUAGCAAAGGCAUUGAGAGGCAAGAGUCUGCAUGAAUGGAAGAAUUCCUUGCGAGAACUCCGAACGCCUUCAAUGGUAAACUUCGAAGGAGUGUCUGCAGAGACUUAUUCAAGUAUUGAACUGAGUUUCAAGUAUUUAAAAGGUGGGCAACUCAAGGAACUUUUUCAGCUCUGCAGUCUAAUGGGUAACAGUAUCCCUACUUUGAAAUUGCUUAAAUACUCCAUAGGUUUGGGUAUAUUUCAAGGAGUCAAUAAGGUGGAAGAUGCACGAAACAAGUUAUAUGCGUUGGUACAUGAACUUAGAGACUCUUGUUUGUUGCUUGAGGGUGAUAGCAAUAAACUAAUUUCAAUGCAUGAUGUUGUUCGCGAUGUCGCCAGAUCAAUUGCAUGCCGAGACCAACAUGUAUUUGUGGUGGAAAACGAGGAUGUGUGGGAGUUGCCAGAUAAGGAAUCACUAAAAAAAUGCUAUGCAAUCUCUAUAAGAUAUUGUUGCAUUCAUGAGCUUCCCAAUGCAUUGGAAUGUCCACAACUUGAGUUCUUGUGCAUGUCUCCCGAAGAUUCUUCUCUUGAAGUGAGUAUUCCUGAAAAUUUUUUUGUAGGGAUGAGAAAGCUUAAAGUUGUAGAUUUUACUGGAAUGCAGUUAUUUUCAUUGCCUUCUUCAAUUGAUCUCUUAGUAAAACUUAAAACACUUUGUCUUGAUGAAAGCAUUUUGAGAGACAUCGACAUAGCCAUUAUUGGAAAGUUGGAAACUCUAGAAAUCCUCAGCUUCGUGCGGUCUGAUACGGUGCAAUUGCCCAAAGCACUAGGUCAACUGACUAAGCUAAGGCUGUUAGAUUUAACAGACUGUUUCCAUCUAAAAGUUAUUGCUCCAAAUGUCAUAUCAAGCUUAAUCCGAUUAGAAGAAUUGUAUAUGUGUAAUUGCUCCAUUGAAUGGGAGGUUGAAAGAGCCAACAGCAAAAGAAGUAAUGCUAGCCUUGACGAAUUGAUGCAUUUACGUUGGCUAACCACUCUAGAAAUUGAUGUUAAAAAUGAGAGUAUGUUACCAGCAGGCUUUUUGGCCAGAAAGCUCGAAAGGUUCAAAAUAUCUAUUGGAAAUGGGUUAUUCAUGCAUCCCAUGCUUUUUGGACAACAUUGGUUUAAAAGUCAGCUGCACUUUUUGAUCGACAGUAAUCGCAAGAUUUCAAGAGAAUUGGAGCUCAAGCUUGAUUUUAUGGACAUUUGCUCCAUGAAAUUGCAGGGCAUCAAUAACGUUGAAUACUUACGGUUGGACAAGCUGCAAGGCAUCGAGAAUGUUCUUUUCAAUUUGGACACGGAGGGCUUUUCACAAUUGAAGGUCCUCUGCGUCCAAAAUAAUCCUGACUUCUUUUGUAUCGUCGAUUCAAGGGAGAUGGUCGCUUGUGAUGCCUUUCCUCUUUUGGAGUCACUUGCCCUUCACAAUUUGAUCAACAUGGAGAGGAUAUGUGUUGAUCGGCUCAAAGUAGAGUCUUUCAACGAACUCAAAAAUAUAGAAGUAUAUAAUUGUGAUAAGUUGAGUAAUAUCUUUUGGCUCUCUACUUCAAAAUGCCUUCCAAGACUUGAGAGAAUUGCAGUUAUUAAUUGCAGCAAGAUGAAAGAGAUUUUUGCAAUUGGGGAAGAAGUUGAUAAUGCAAUUGAGAAGAUAGAGUUUGUUCAAUUAAGAUCUUUGAGUCUGGGGAAUCUUCCAGAGGUUACAAGUUUUUGCCGCCGUGAGGUGGAGACUCCUUCAGCAUCACCGAACAGACAAGUGUCGCAAGAGGAAUCGACGACUACGUAUUGCUCCAGCGAAAUCACUUUGGAUACUUCAACUCUGCUUUUCAACGAGAAGGUGCGUAGGCUAACAUUUUCUUUAUAUAUAUAUAAUUAAAUCAUUUAAAGAAUUGAAAGAAAAUGGAAAAAGGAUAAAAAGAAUCUCACGCGCUCACUAAUUGAGCUCUUAACAAGUAGUAUGAAUUAGAAUGCAUACUCAGCUGUCAGUUGGAAAUUGAUUCAGACUUGAUUAAUUUGUAAUCAAAGAAGAAAAUUUCAACAAGUGCUUCCCCUAUAGAUAUUGGAUCUAACGAGAAAUUCUUAUUUUUUUAGGUUGCGUUGCCUAACUUGGAGGCUUUGGAGAUAUCUGAAAUUAAUGUCGACAAGAUUUGGCACUACAAUCAAAUUCCGGCGGCCGUGUUUCCUCACUUUCAAAGUUUAACAAGAUUGAUUGUGUGGCGUUGUCACAAAUUAAAAUACAUAUUUUCAGCGUCUAUGAUCGGAAGCCUCAAGCAGCUCCAACACCUAGAUAUACGAGACUGUAAGGAUUUACAGGAGAUCAUUUCUGAAAACAGAGCAGAUCAAGUGAUCCCUUAUUUUGUCUUUCCACAGCUCACCACU
rnacentral:lncRNA from 1 species